UCUCUGAGGGCACAGGCAGCACCCCCCUCAGAAGGGGAGCCCCAUAGACAGGAUCUCUAUUCACUGCUUUCUGCUUUUUAUACAGAGAUCCCUCCCGUAUGCAAAUAUCCACUCUGGUCACAGGGUAGAAACACAGCACCAGCUCCCUUAAAUUCAGCCUCAUCCUCAAGCUUGAAGAGACUUGUGGGAGUGGUGACUCUCAUCUGCUCGAAGAUGAACCCACUGUGGACCCUCCUCUUUGUGCUCUCAGCCCCCAGAUGGGUCCUGUCCCAGGUGCAGCUGCAAGAGUCGGGCCCCAGCCUGGUGAAGCCCUCACAGACCCUCUCCCUCACCUGCACGGCCUCUGGAUUCUCAUUGACCAGCUAUGCUGUAGGCUGGGUCCACAGGGCUCCAGGGAAGGCGCUGGAGUGGAUUGGUGGUUUAGAUAAUGAUGGAGACACAUGCUAUAACCCAGCCCUGAAAUCCCAGCUCAGCAUCACCAAGGACAACUCCAAGAGCCAAGUCUCUAUAUCACUGAGCAGCUUGACACCUGAGGACACGGCCGUGUACUACUGUGCAAAGGACACAGUGAGGGGAAGUCAGUGUGAGCCCUACAAAAACCUCCCUGCAUUGGGGCCCGUGACCACCAGAGGGAGCUCAGGACUCAGUACAGAGCUGAGUACUGGAGCAGGUGCAGAAGAGGCGUUGGGAGAUGGGGAUCCUGGGUGGGAUUCUCCUCAGGGCUUCUCUUUCCUCCUCCUGCCCAGGAGCUGCACCUCAGACCCUCUUCUGUGUCCUGGUAUUUCAUUGUUGUGGUUUAUGUCACUCUCAGACAACUGUGUGUGUAUAUACAUUUCAAUUUAGCUUGAAGCAAGGGUAGCUUUUUGAAAACACACACUCACACAUAAUACUCAACAGCUAAUUUUUUUCCCCUUCAUUUUUAUUCCUUCAAGGGAACUCAGUAAAACACUUGCUGCUCCUACUGCUAAGUCACUUCAGUCGUGUCCGACUCUGUGCGACCCCAUAGACGCCAGCCCAUCAGGCCC